ACUUGGCCUACAGCUCUCAACCCCCUGUGGGAGAGGAAGCGUGCAGGUGAGCAGGUGCAAGAGCUGGAGCAAGCACUUUUGGACACUGACAGGACCAAAACUCCAUGCACGCUGGUGGUAACAUCAAAGGGAGAGCAUGUGAAGAGACAGAAACCAACAAGGACAGCAAGAAUGGAGAAGAAACAACAGCAACAAUGUUUUAUGCAAGCUGAAAAGCAGAUUUGUGAAUUAUAACCAACUCAGUGGGUCUGAGAAGAUGGAAUCCUGAGCUGGCCGUGGGGGAAGGCAUGAAGGGGACUAAUUCCAUAAAGGAGUCUAGUUCCAUAGAGGGGCUUAGUUCCAUAGAGGGGCCUAGUUCCCCAGAGGAGCCCAGUUCCAUGGAGGGGCCUAAUUCCAUGGAGGGACCUAAUUCCAUGGAGGGGCCCAAUUCCAUAGAGGGGCCUAAUUCCAUGGGUGGGCCCAUUUCCAUAGAGGGGCCUAGUUCCAUGGAGGGUGGGGGAAAAAUGCUGCCAGUCUCUUUGGUAAAACAUAACAAGAGUCACCUUUACUCCAUUUCCUAACAAGUUGCUCAUCUCCAUCUGAGACCACCUCAGCCUGCAUUUCAUUGUCCGUAUCAUUAUCAGCAUUUUGGUCAAAGUCAUUCAACAAGUCUCUAGAAAGUUCCAAACUUUCCCACAUUUUUUCAAUCUUCUUCUGAGCCCUCCAAACUGUUCCAACCUCUGCCUGUUACCCAGUUCCACAGUCACUUCCACGUUUUUGGGUAUCUUUUCAGCAAUGUUCCAGAAUACUGGUACCAAUUUACUGUAUUAGUCCGUUUUCACACUGAUUAUAAAGACACACCAAAGACUGGCCAAUUUACAAAAGAAAGAGUUUUAACGGACUUACAGUUCCACGUCACUGGGGAGACUCACAGUCAUGGCGGAAGGUGAAAGGCAUGUCUCACAUGGCGGCAGACAAAAGAAGAGAGCUUGUGCAGGGAAACUCCCCCUUAUAUAAUCAUCAGAUCUCCUGAGACUUAUUCACUAUCACAAGAACAGCACAGGAAAGACCCACCCCCAUGAUUCAAUUACAUCCCAAUGUGUCCCUCCCACAUGUGGGAAUUCAAGAUGAGAUUUGGGUGGGGACACAGCCAAACCAUAUCAAGGCCUAAUUCCAUAGAGGGGCCUAGUUCCAUGGAGGACCUAGUUCUGUGGAGGGGCCUAAUUCCAUGGAGGAACUUACUUCCAUGGAGAUCCUAAUUCCAUGGAGGAUCUAGUUUCAUGGAAGGGCCUAAUGCCAUGGACCUAAUUCCAUGGAGGGGCUUAAUUCCAUGGAGGGGCCUAGUUCCCUGAAGGGGCCUAGUUCCCUGAAGGAGCCUAGUUCCCUGAAGAAGCCUGAUUCCAUAGAGGGACCUAGUUCCAUGGAGUCGCCUAAUUCCCAGGACCCAUGGCUCUUUAGGAAGAGACACUGGAGUGUGUGAGAAAAGUGUGCUGUGGGAAAUGUGAAAAUUCAAAGGCUUGUUGAGAAGAUGGGCCCAGGAUCGAUCAUCAGCCUCCUUACCACCAGCACAAAGAAAGGCAAUUCUUCUCUGAAAGGCAAAAUAGAGCAACUCUGCACUGACAUAGCACGUGUUGUUCAGGAUGUGGUGCCAAAUUGAAAAAAAGAAAGGGACUAAAUAAAAGUUUAAACACUUCGUGUUAAAA